UGUAACAGACAUUUUUUUACGGUAUUCACCUUUAAAAUGUCAACCUCUCCGCUUCACCACCGUGGCCCCGCCCCUUUAUGCAGAUUAGCCGUGACGUCGACGGAUGCCAUCGUUACGUCUCUUCUUCCGACAGAUAUUCCUUUAAAGGCGUAUUUAAAGCUCUGGCGUCGGUUGCAGGAGUAGCGGACAACCUAUGCAACCAAGCUGCCGCAGAGCCGAGCGACUGUCCGACAGCUCAGCGGACAUAAACACGGAACCAGCUGCUGACACGACCCGGCGAGGUACGACUGCAGAGCUUAAAAUUGCAGCCUGGACCAAAACGUCUCAACGACAUUUAUGAAGCUUUUAAGGCCUUUUGGGGACGAGCAGAACACGAACAGGCCGCGCAGAGCACGAGCAGGCCGGGCAGAGCACGAACAGGCCGGGCAGAGCACGAACAGGCCGGGCAGAGCACGAACAGGCCGGGCAGAGCACGAACAGGCCGGGCAGAGCACGAACAGGCCGGGCAGAGCACGAACAGGCCGAGCAGAGCACGAACAGGCCGAGCAGAGCACGAACAGGCCGAGCAGAGCACGAACAGGCCGAGCAGAGCACGAACAGGCCGAGCAGAGCACGAACAGGCCGAGCAGAGCACGAACAGGCCGAGCAGAGCACGAACAGGCCGAGCAGAGCACGAACAGGCCGAGCAGAGCACGAACAGGCCGAGCAGAGCACGAACAGGCCGAGCAGAGCACAUAACAUGAAUAACAAUCCCACAAAGAAGACUGAGACAGACAGGAAUAUAUACACAGACACUAAAUGAGGGAACGAGACACAGCUGUGAGAGAAAGGCAAAUACACAGGAGGAACCUAAUGAAGGGAACGAGACACACCUGGGGAGAAAGGCAGAAAACACAAGGGCAGGAAGUAAUAUCAGACAUGACACAAGGGGAAGGGAACAUUUCAAAAUAAAACAGGAAACAGAAACCAAGACUGUGACACAUACUGUGUUACUUUAAAAUUAUAUAAACUCACCAGUAUUAAAGAUGAAUUCCUCCAGUUGUUGUUCAACAAUGUCAGGAUGUCAGGAAAACCUCAACGCUGAUAGACUUUUGUGACACCUCAUUACACAAAUUGCUCACUUUGUUUGCAUAUUUGAAUCCCCAGCACAAAUUUGCAUCUAUUUGCGUCUUUACAUUGACUUUGUAUGUAAUCGCACUGGGCAAAGAAUUUACUUUGCGUUUGGUGAGAACACUAUAAGUCUUGUUUAGGGUUAAGUAUGACAUAGACCCUGCUGACUCAUACAGUAGCUACUGACAUGUUGCUCAUUUCCAACCAGACACUGUUUGUGUGCAGCUUUGAACCUGCAGGUUUGAUGAGAUGUUUGGACACAGUUAGGUUAUGCUUCAUAGCCAAAGCCACUCCUCAUUCCUGUCCUGCUCUGACAGAGAAACAACAUGUAAGAAGAGGAUCAAAACAAAACUUGAAACUUAACUAGAAACUCAAAACAAGUUUUAUUAGUAUUGAUGGGGAGGGGGGGGGGGUUGUUUUCACCAGCUUGACAAUGGCACAUUUCUCUGUGGUGGAAGCGUUGCCAAUGCCAAGCUUGAGCACCAUAAAUGUCACUGCGAUAAUAAUUUAUAUAUUAUAAUAAUAUUAAGAUUGCUGUAUUUCUGUAUCAAAUUAAUAUAUAAUAAAUAUAAUCAACAGGGAUUUUGACAAUUAAUAUAAUUUAUUAAUGUUCAAAACAUAAGAUGAUGCUCUCCUCAAAGCCACCAGACUCCAUUGACAAAAACAAUAAUUUUACCUCGCUGAUCAUCAAGCAAAAUACAACUCAUCAGAACUGUCUUUGUUAGUCUUUCCACCGUUCCAGCAAUCACCAACCCUGGUUUGAGAGUUUGAGAGACUGAUCAGGGAAAUAUAUGUAAAAAAUAAAUAACCACUAUAACUGCCUUCUACUGUUUACAAACCCAGCUUUCCAGUGCAUCCGUGACGUUGAACGUGACACACCCAGAAAAGCAUACAGUCGACUGGCAAUGGGAAAGGAAGGCGCCCAUUUUAGCAGGUUUUUCCCAUGUUUAAGAGAACCCGCAUAUACAUGUUCAUUUUGGUGGAAAAAGGCAGAAACAGAACAUAAAAAUGCUGUUGUUGUCAGUUGGCCUUUAACAGAAUCAAGUGUGUGUGUAUGU
ensembl:lncRNA